UACGUAGGGUGCAAGCGUUGUCCGGAAUUAUUGGGCGUAAAGAGCUCGUAGGCGGUUUGUCGCGUCUGCUGUGAAAAUCCAGGGCUUAACCCUGGACCUGCAGUGGGUACGGGCAGACUGGAGUGCGGUAGGGGAGAUCGGAAUUCCUGGUGUAGCGGUGAAAUGCGUAGAUAUCAAGUAGAACACCAGUGGCGAAGGCGAGUCCCUGGAAAACUCCUGACACUGAGGCACGAAAGCUAGGGGAGCAAACAGG
rnacentral:rRNA from 1 species